GAUGAACGCUAGCUACAGGCUUAACACAUGCAAGUAGAGGGCCCGGCGCACGCGUGAGUAAAACGUAUCAAUCAUGCCCUUUCCUCGGGGAUAGCCUUUCGCAAGAAAGAUUAAUACCCGAUAUGUAGGAUGGGCAUGCGUUCCAUUAGGUUGUUGGUGAGGUAAGGGAUCACCAAGCCUUAGAUGGAUACGGGUUCUGAGAGGAAGGUCCCCGACAUUGGAACUGGGACACGGGUCAAACUCCUACCGGAAGCAGCAGUGAGGAAUAUUGGUCAAUGGGUGGUAGCCUGAACCAACCAAGUAGCGUGAAGGAUGAAGGCUUAUGGGUCUUAAACUUCUUUUAUAUAAGAAUAUGUAUUAUAUGAAUAAGGAUCGGCUAACUCCGUGCCAGCAGCCGCGGUAAUUC
rnacentral:rRNA from 1 species